rnacentral:misc_RNA from 1 species
ACAAGAUAUGAAUUUCCAAUUCAUAAACCCAUUCCGCGUAUCUGUUCCAGUUGCUUCCGCAAGUUGGGCAAUACCACUUGCCAUUCCUCUAUCUCAGAGGAGCUUGCGGGAGGUUAUAAUAACUUCUGCUAUUCUCAUGUCGUCUGAAUCUUUGCCUUUGCAAGUAUUA